UACGUAGGGCGCAAGCGUUUGUCCGGAAUUAUUGGGCGUAAAGAGCUCGUAGGUGGCUUGUCACGUCGGGUGUGAAAGCUUGGGGCUUAACUCCAGGUCUGCAUUCGAUACGGGCUGGCUAGAGGUAGGUAGGGGAGAACGGAAUUCCUGGUGUAGCGGUGAAAUGCGCAGAUAUCAGGAGGAACACCGGUGGCGAAGGCGGUUCUCUGGGCAUUACCUGACGCUGAGGAGCGAAAGUGUGGGGAGCGAACAGG
rnacentral:rRNA from 1 species